AGAGUUUGAUCAUGGCUCAGAGCGAACGCUGGCGGCAGGCUUAACACAUGCAAGUCGAGCGGGCGUAGCAAUACGUCAGCGGCAGACGGGUGAGUAACGCGUGGGAACAUACCUUUUUCGGAACAACCCAGGGAAACUUGGGCUAAUACCGGAUAAGCCCUUACGGGGAAAGAUUUAUCGCCGAAAGAUUGGCCCGCGUCUGAUUAGCUAGUUGGUGAGGUAAUGGCUCACCAAGGCGACGAUCAGUAGCUGGUCUGAGAGGAUGAUCAGCCACAUUGGGACUGAGACACGGCCCAAACUCCUACGGGAGGCAGCAGUGGGGAAUAUUGGACAAUGGGCGCAAGCCUGAUCCAGCCAUGCCGCGUGAGUGAUGAAGGCCCUAGGGUUGUAAAGCUCUUUUGUGCGGGAAGAUAAUGACGGUACCGCAAGAAUAAGCCCCGGCUAACUUCGUGCCAGCAGCCGCGGUAAUACGAAGGGGGCUAGCGUUGCUCGGAAUCACUGGGCGUAAAGGGUGCGUAGGCGGGUCUUUAAGUCAGGGGUGAAAUCCUGGAGCUCAACUCCAGAACUGCCUUUGAUACUGAAGAUCUUGAGUUCGGGAGAGGUGAGUGGAACUGCGAGUGUAGAGGUGAAAUUCGUAGAUAUUCGCAAGAACACCAGUGGCGAAGGCGGCUCACUGGCCCGAUACUGACGCUGAUGCACGAAAGCGUGGGGAGCAAACAGGAUUAGAUACCCUAGUAGUCC
rnacentral:rRNA from 1 species